rnacentral:rRNA from 1 species
GUGGGGAAUAUUGGGCAAUGGGGGAAACCCUGACCCAGCAACGCCGCGUGAGGGAAGAAGGCUUUCGGGUCGUAAACCUCUGUCCCAUGGGAAGAGGAGAAGACGGUACCAUGGGAGGAAGCCCCGGCUAACUACGUGCCAGCAGCCGCGGUAAUACGUAGGGGGCGAGCGUUGUCCGGAAUGACUGGGCGUAAAGGGCGCGUAGGCGGCCAGACAAGUCUGGAGUGAAAGUCCCGCUUUCAAGGUGGGAAUGGCUUUGGAAACUGUCUGGCUUGAGUGUGGGAGAGGAUAGCGGAAUUCCCGGUGUAGCGGUGAAAUGCGUAGAUAUUAGGAGGAACACCAGUGGCGAAGGCGGCUUUCUGGACUGUAACUGACACUGAGGCACGAAAGCGUGGGGAGCAAACAGGAUUAGAAACCCUGGUAGUCC